GGGACACGUGGUAUCCUGUCUGAAUAUGGGGGGACCAUCCUCCAAGGCUAAAUACUCCUGACUGACCGAUAGUGAACCAGUACCGUGAGGGAAAGGCGAAAAGAACCCCGGCGAGGGGAGUGAAAAAGAACCUGAAACCGUGUACGUACAAGCAGUGGGAGCCUCUUAAUGGGGUGACUGCGUACCUUUUGUAUAAUGGGUCAGCGACUUAUAUUCUGUAGCAAGGUUAACCGAAUAGGGGAGCCGAAGGGAAACCGAGUCUUAACUGGGCGUUAAGUUGCAGGGUAUAGACCCGAAACCCGGUGAUCUAGCCAUGGGCAGGUUGAAGGUUGGGUAACACUAACUGGAGGACCGAACCGACUAAUGUUGAAAAAUUAGCGGAUGACUUGUGGCUGGGGGUGAAAGGCCAAUCAAACCGGGAGAUAGCUGGUUCUCCCCGAAAGCUAUUUAGGUAGCGCCUCGUGAAUUCAUCUCCGGGGGUAGAGCACUGUUUCGGCAAGGGGGUCAUCCCGACUUACCAACCCGAUGCAAACUGCGAAUACCGGAGAAUGUUAUCACGGGAGACACACGGCGGGUGCUAACGUCCGUCGUGAAGAGGGAAACAACCCAGACCGCCAGCUAAGGUCCCAAAGUCAUGGUUAAGUGGGAAACGAUGUGGGAAGGCCCAGACAGCCAGGAUGUUGGCUUAGAAGCAGCCAUCAUUUAAAGAAAGCGUAAUAGCUCACUGGUCGAGUCGGCCUGCGCGGAAGAUGUAACGGGGCUAAACCAUGCACCGAAGCUGCGGCAGCGACACUAUGUGUUGUUGGGUAGGGGAGCGUUCUGUAAGCCUGUGAAGGUGUGCUGUGAGGCAUGCUGGAGGUAUCAGAAGUGCGAAUGCUGACAUAAGUAACGAUAAAGCGGGUGAAAAGCCCGCUCGCCGGAAGACCAAGGGUUCCUGUCCAACGUUAAUCGGGGCAGGGUGAGUCGACCCCUAAGGCGAGGCCGAAAGGCGUAGUCGAUGGGAAACAGGUUAAUAUUCCUGUACUUGGUGUUACUGCGAAGGGGGGACGGAGAAGGCUAUGUUGGCCGGGCGACGGUUGUCCCGGUUUAAGCGUGUAGGCUGGUUUUCCAGGCAAAUCCGGAAAACCAAGGCUGAGGCGUGAUGACGAGGCACUACGGUGCUGAAGCGACAAAUGCCCUGCUUCCAGGAAAAGCCUCUAAGCAUCAGGUAACAUCAAAUCGUACCCCAAACCGACACAGGUGGUCAGGUAGAGAAUACCAAGGCGCUUGAGAGAACUCGGGUGAAGGAACUAGGCAAAAUGGUGCCGUAACUUCGGGAGAAGGCACGCUGAUAUGUAGGUGAAGCGACUUGCUCGUGGAGCUGAAAUCAGUCGAAGAUACCAGCUGGCUGCAACUGUUUAUUAAAAACACAGCACUGUGCAAACACGAAAGUGGACGUAUACGGUGUGACGCCUGCCCGGUGCCGGAAGGUUAAUUGAUGGGGUUAGCGGUAACGCGAAGCUCUUGAUCGAAGCCCCGGUAAACGGCGGCCGUAACUAUAACGGUCCUAAGGUAGCGAAAUUCCUUGUCGGGUAAGUUCCGACCUGCACGAAUGGCGUAAUGAUGGCCAGGCUGUCUCCACCCGAGACUCAGUGAAAUUGAACUCGCUGUGAAGAUGCAGUGUACCCGCGGCAAGACGGAAAGACCCCGUGAACCUUUACUAUAGCUUGACACUGAACAUUGAGCCUUGAUGUGUAGGAUAGGUGGGAGGCUUUGAAGUGUGGACGCCAGUCUGCAUGGAGCCGACCUUGAAAUACCACCCUUUAAUGUUUGAUGUUCUAACGUGGGCCCCUAAUCGGGGUUGCGGACAGUGUCUGGUGGGUAGUUUGACUGGGGCGGUCUCCUCCUAAAGAGUAACGGAGGAGCACGAAGGUUGGCUAAUCCUGGUCGGACAUCAGGAGGUUAGUGCAAUGGCAUAAGCCAGCUUGACUGCGAGCGUGACGGCGCGAGCAGGUGCGAAAGCAGGUCAUAGUGAUCCGGUGGUUCUGAAUGGAAGGGCCAUCGCUCAACGGAUAAAAGGUACUCCGGGGAUAACAGGCUGAUACCGCCCAAGAGUUCAUAUCGACGGCGGUGUUUGGCACCUCGAUGUCGGCUCAUCACAUCCUGGGGCUGAAGUAGGUCCCAAGGGUAUGGCUGUUCGCCAUUUAAAGUGGUACGCGAGCUGGGUUUAGAACGUCGUGAGACAGUUCGGUCCCUAUCUGCCGUGGGCGCUGGAGAACUGAGGGGGGCUGCUCCUAGUACGAGAGGACCGGAGUGGACGCAUCACUGGUGUUCGGGUUGUCAUGCCAAUGGCACUGCCCGGUAGCUAAAUGCGGAAGAGAUAAGUGCUGAAAGCAUCUAAGCACGAAACUUGCCCCGAGAUGAGUUCUCCCUGACUCCUUGAGAGUCCUGAAGGAACGUUGAAGACGACGACGUUGAUAGGCCGGGUGUGUAAGCGCAGCGAUGCGUUGAGCUAACCGGUACUAAUGAACCGUGAGGCUUAACCUU
rnacentral:rRNA from 1 species